rnacentral:misc_RNA from 1 species
GAUGAAGAACGCAGCGAAAUGCGAUAAGUAGUGUGAAUUGCAGAAUUCAGUGAAUCAUCGAAUCUUUGAACGCACAUUGCGCCCUGUGGUAUUCCGCAGGGCAUGCCUGUUCGAGCGUCAUUGACACCCUCAAGCUCUGCUUGGUCUUGGGCGUUUGUGCCUGCCGUUGCACAGGGACUCGCCUCAAACUCAUUGGCAGCCUGCCUUUGCCGGUCUUUGCACAGCACAGUCGUGCCAAAGCCGCGGUGAGCAGGCGCUCCACAAGCCCUUUUCAGCUUGACCUCGGAUCAGGUAGGAAUACCCGCUGAACUUAAGCAUAUCAAUAAGCGGAGGA